rnacentral:rRNA from 1 species
GAUCAUGGCUCAGAUUGAACGCUGGCGGCAUGCUUUACACAUGCAAGUCGAACGGCAGCACGAAAGAGCUUGCUCUUUUGGUGGCGAGUGGCGAACGGGUGAGUAAUGCAUCGGAACGUACCGAGUAAUGGGGGAUAACUAUCCGAAAGGAUAGCUAAUACCGCAUACGCUUUGAGAAGGAAAGUGGGGGCUCUUCGGACCUCACGUUAUUCGAGCGGCCGAUGUCUGAUUAG